AGGGAAUCUUCCACAAUGGACGGAAGUCUGAUGGAGCAACGCCGCGUGAGUGAUGAAGGUUUUCGGAUCGUAAAACUCUGUUGUAAGGGAAGAACCAGUACGUCAGGCAAUGGACGUACCUUGACGGUACCUUAUUAGAAAGCCCCGGCUAACUACGUGCCAGCAGCCGCGGUAAUACGUAGGGGGCGAGCGUUGCCCGGAAUUACUGGGCGUAAAGGGAACGUAGGUGGCUCUUAAAGUCAGGUGUGAAAAUAACGAAGCUUAACAGGUUAAUGCGCUUGAAACUAAAGGGCUUGAGGGCAAUAGAGGGAGAUGGAAUUACCUGUGUAGGGGUGAAAUCCGCAGAUAUAGGUAAGAAGGCCGGUGGGGAAGCCGAUCUCCUGGGUUGACUCUGACACUGAGGUUCGAAAGCUAGGGGAGCAAACC
rnacentral:rRNA from 1 species